UACGGGGGGGGCAAGCGUUGUUCGGAAUUACUGGGCGUAAAGGGCUCGUAGGUGGCCAACUAAGUCAGACGUGAAAUCCCUCGGCUUAACCGGGGAACUGCGUCUGAUACUGGAUGGCUUGAGUUUGGGAGAGGGAUGCGGAAUUCCAGGUGUAGCGGUGAAAUGCGCAGAUAUCAGGAGGAACACCGAUGGCGAAGGCAGCUCACUGGGACGGUACUGACGCUGAGGCGCGAAAGCGUGGGGAGCAAACAGG
rnacentral:rRNA from 1 species